rnacentral:rRNA from 1 species
UACGUAGGGUGCAAGCGUUAAUCGGAAUUACUGGGCGUAAAGCGUGCGCAGGCGGUUAUGUAAGACAGAUGUGAAAUGCCCGGGCUUAACCUGGGAACUGCAUUUGUGACUGCAAGGCUAGAGUACGGUAGAGGGGGAUGGAAUUCCGCGUGUAGCAGUGAAAUGCGUAGAUAUGCGGAGGAACACCGAUGGCGAAGGCAAUCCCCUGGACCUGUACUGACGCUCAUGCACGAAAGCGUGGGGAGCAAACAGG